UCCGCCCCUGCUCCUCCAGGCCCUUCAGGCGCCUCAGACAAUCCUCGGCGCUGUGGAGAUCCCGCUCCAGGUGCAUCGUGAGCAGGUUUGUGGACCAAACUGACCCCACCCAGGGAGGGUCCCUGGCGUCCUGUGCCCCCCAGCAGCAUCCCAUUGCUCCAGGGAGGACCGGGAUCCACCCGGCUCCAGCAUUGGAAAACCGCAGCUCCCGGAGUGCCCAGGACCCAGCAGCACCCACAGGGAACACGCACCGAGGGAAAAGGCUUCGGGAUUUGGUGGAUUUGAGCCGGAGCCCGGCUGGCCAGAAGGGCGAGGGCUCUGCCCCGGGAAGAACCGGCUCAAUUCCAGACUGAGAAGCUGGAAGAGGCGCUGCCCAGAUGUUGGCUCGGGAUCCAGCGGUGGAGGCGGCCCCGGGGUCACUCAGCAGAGCCCCUCCGGGACGGUGGGAUUUGCGGUCGCGGUGAGGAUGAGGAGCAGCGCCGGGCAGUGUGUCUGGCCAAGCCAUGCUGGCUGAUCCCAAAUCCCUGCCGGGACCACCCGCCCGGGGCGUUUCUGGGGCACGGAAGGGUCCGCUGGCAUUGCACUGAGCGGGAACGCUGAGCAGGCGCCCCGGGAUGGACACGGAGGGGUUAAAUCUCGCCGGAUCCCGGGAAGAGCCGGCGACUUCCCAGCCUGAAUAAACCCAGCACCCUGCCAAAAUCCUGCUCCAGGACCCAAACUCCUGGAUUAUCAACCGUAAUCCAGGCAGGGUAUUCCUCUGGAGGAGCGACCCUCCGUGCCUGAUGCACGGCCUGCAGGGAAUGCAUCCCACUGAGCCCCGAAACCCCUCAGGAGCUGUCCUGGGACACCACCCGGCUCUCGGGGUUCCUACUCUGGCUCCAGCCUCUGCAGCUCCAUCCAGCAGCUCCGGCAUCUAUUUGUUUACAAGCGGGGUGGGAGUUUUGCUUUUGCUUCCCUUUAUUUUUAAACUUAUUUAUCUUUAUUUUGGAUUUCUGACUCAUCCCCACCCGUUGCCGGGAGGAAACCGGAAUCAAAAAAGCCUCAGAUAUCGUUUGUAUCAGCUGAAUAAAAUCCUCCCCCAGAGAGGAAAGUCCAGCAACAGCUCCAGGACCCAGAGCCGCUUCUCCUUCCCCUGGUCUCAUUCCCACAGAGGAGGAAAACUCAAUUUUUCCUCUUUUUCUCCAAACCACAGCUGGUUUCAGGCUCUGCAAGCACAGAGCCAGGC